rnacentral:misc_RNA from 1 species
AAGUCGUAACAAGGUUUCCGUAGGUGAACCUGCGGAAGGAUCAUUAAAGUAUUCUUCGGUGCAGCCAGCGCUUCCACAGCGCGGCAGCCCAAACCUUACACACUGUGAUUAGUUUUUUUACUAUUUACUUUGGCUGCGCAAGUGGCCAAAGGUCUUAAACACGAAGAUUUAUAUCUUUUUUUACAAAAUUUAGUCAAUGAAGUUUUAAUACUAUAAUCUUCAAAACUUUCAACAACGGAUCUCUUGGUUCUC